AUACACAACUGUUAGAAUGGCUUUCAUAACUAGACAAGACUAAAGUGUUACAAAUGGUUUCAAUACAUAAAUAAUGAACCUAACUAGAACAAGUCUCUUCGGGAACUCAGAAUUUGAAAUGCUACAUAUUUGUAAUGAAGUUAAACACAGAUUCUAGUUGCCUCCUAUCUUCUUCAGAUAAAAAUGUCUUGUGAACUUGAGUAUUGCAUCAUUAAAAAUUAACUUUGAGAUACUAAUAUUCCUUUGGCUUAAUAUAGGAUGCAGGAAAUCUGAACUUUAUAUUGUCCAAACUUAAUCUGUAAGAUUAUAUUUGUGAAAUUCUCAGUUCCUUUAGUGUCCCAGGAAAAUGACUCUUCUGUAAGGAAAACUCUCUCUCAGGAUGUCCUGACUUGCAUGCCAUUACAGAGACAGGGUCUGUGCUCCUAAUGAAUUUUACUAUUCAAAGAAAUCUAGUAUAUGAAAAUUUAACUGAAUAGAUGAAUUAUUGUUUUAAUGUUGAAGUUUUUUUUCUUUUUCUUUUGUUCCCCUAAAUGGCAAUUUUCCUUGAUAUUUUUGAAAUUGAAUUCAAUUUAUGAAACUUAUGGGAUCACUCAAGUUUACAUGUCUGUGUAUUUUAUAGCUCAAAUAUAUGUAACAGUAAAUAGCUGUAUGCUGUGUUGGUAUUUGGAAAGCGGAUGGGCACUUAGUAUCUUCUCAAGGAAUAUAAUCUGGAGGCAUACAGGAAAUAAAUUAGGGAGUAAAUCACAGGAAGUAAUCAUUAGACUCAUUCUUCAUUUUCAAAGCCUAGAAAUAUGUUGCUUUCAUAUUGGAAGAGGGAAAGGUCUUUCUUUCUGGAUCUGCCCUGGAACAUGAGCCAACACUGAGAUGCACAAAAUGUUAAGAUGCUCUUUUCUGCUUCACUUCUCUUCACUUACACUUCCAUUUAUCUGGAAUGAUUUUUGCGUCAUCUUUCUCAUCCAGGUAUUUUUUUUCAUAUGUUAAGUUUCAGCUUAAAUGUCACACCUUAAGAAAAUACUUCCAUUUGAAGAAUAUCCCUACCCUAGACUUUAUUUUACCUAACUUAGUUAUUGUCAUUCAUAAUUUUUUUUGUCUUUUUGCCUUUUCUAGGGCUGCUCAUAAUUUUAUUUUAUUUUAUCUAUUGUCUCAUCUUUCCCACUUAAAUAUGAACUCCCUAAAGACAAAAAAAUUCAUUUAUAUAUUUAUGUCUCCAGUUCAAACAUGAGUAUUUACAAAAGUAUUUAUUGAGUAAAUCAUUGAAUGAGCCUUAGUUAUGUUGUAAAAACUCUGACUUUGUUCACCAAUGCUGGAUAGAAACAUGGAGACAGAGUUCCGGGUGAAGGAGAAAAUAAUAUCUAUAUUGCUUUGCCAAGCAAAGGAGGGUCACAGUAGGCUAAUGCCCUAAAGACUCCCCUCCACCCCAGAAGAGAUUGGGAGGUGGUUUUAUAGUUUUGGGAGUGGAAAAUAGGGCCACAGAUAAGGAUCAGGGUAGAGAUAAGCUUGUAUUAUUUUUCGAAGCUGGUGAUCCUUCUUUUGAAAUGAAAAUGCUUAUUAACAUCUUCCAUUUGUUGGGGUUUUUAUUUCUUCAGAACUCAAAGAUAUUAUUACCUAUAUUCCUUGAGGAGGAACUGGGACCCUGCCCCAAAUGCUGCUCUGUUGUCUCUUGACUGCUCCUCAUUAACAUCUUCCAUUUGUUGGGGUUUUUACUUCUUCAGAACUCAAAGAUAUUAUUAUCUAUAUUCCUUGAGGAGGAACUGGGACCCUGCCCCAAAUGCUGCUCUGUUGUCUCUUGACUACUCCUCCUUUUUCUCCUCAUCCCAUCCUUUCCAUGAUUAACAACUACUUGAACCUACCCAGGGAAGGUCAUGGAGGAUGAAGCAUAUUCCCUAUAAACAAGAAAUGGGGAACAAUAAAAGGCUUGUGAGCCCAGGAGCCCCACAGUGCUUUAUUCAUUUUCAGUUAGACUUAUGAAUGUAUAACUUCAGAAUAUGUUUAUAAAACUGCAUAAUCUACAAAUUCAUAGGGGAAAGGUAGUUUGUGAAUAUAUAGAGAAUCUUUGGGGAAUGAGAUUCAUUUCUUAAUUUUCCACAUGUGGCUGACCUACUUUGUAGAUUGACUUUGACUAGCUUUAAAAUUCUUUAACACCUCACAAUUUCAUGUAGAGAAUGUCUUGAUUAUUUGCUUGGCUCUGAUUUAAUAUGUGCUCUCUAAACACUAAUAUUAAUAUUGUUACCAGGUCCAAGAUCAUUCUGUUCACCAUAUGACAGCCCAACAAAUCAGUGGGUGAGAUAUUGGGGUAAAGAGUAAUGACUUUAUUCAGAAAGCUGAGAAUCCAAGAAGAUAGCAGACUAGUGUCCUAGAGAACCAUUUCAUAGGGUAUGGAUGUUAGUUUCUUUUAUAGAACAAAGAAGGGGGAAGUGAGGAUGUAAAAUAAAAAAUAUAAUAAGUUAUUGAAUAUAUCUUCAGAUUUUGGCUGACUUUGGGAGAGGAUGUGUUAAUUUCUUCUUUCCUGUAGCCAUUUAUAGGUGGGCUGGGUCAGGAUGUUUCCUGUGAGCUGAACAAAGGUAUAUUAGUUUUAUAUUCAGACAUGGGUGACAGGGUUGUCAGAGAGAGGUAAUUAUGAAUACUUUAUUCUUCUGAUGACAUAUCUUUAGUGAUUAACUUCUAGAAAAAGCAAAGGAAAUGAGUUUGUCACAGAAACAGAUCUAUUUUGGAGUAAGAUUUUUUCUUGCCUACUAUAGUUCACAUAAGCCAGACAUAUUUGGGAAGGGAUAUGAGCUGGUACUGGUGCAGAUGCCCAUAUCCCCAAAACAGGCAAACAACAACAACAACAAAAUAAUAAUGAGUAGGGAAAUUCUCAUAUAUUACCAUGAGACAUAAAAAUGAAGGUUUUAUAAGUGGAAGAUCUGAGUUUCAAGAAAAGCUCAACAAUUUGUAUUUUCUUAAAUAAGUCACAUGGCCUCAUUGAAUCUCAAUUCCCAAGCUAUUAUAUGGGGAUGAGAAACAACCCUGAUUUUCCUUCAGUUUCUGUGAGAAAUGCAUGGAAUUGAAAACACUUGGAAAAUUGUAAAGUUCUCUAUCCAUAAAAUGAAUUAUUUUUAGAAUAUAAUUUAUAUAUUAAGCUCCCUAAAAUGUAAACAAAAGCCCUUAAAGUGAGGACAUAGCAUUGCACAAAUUCCACAUUCUCAUAUGACUUUGGCCACUGGAGAAAACUAGUAUUACACAUAUUAAUAUGUAUUAAAUAUUUCCAUGUUCAAACUGUAGAGCUGAUGCUGGGGGAGCAGAUGUAUGUCUGUGUAGCUUACCAUCCAGUCAAGAAGAUAUGCUAGGAAUAGCAGUAGAAUGCAGUAAGUGCUAUGUCAGGGUUAAUGCUGGGGAAGUACCAAGUACUUCAGGAAGAUAAGGAAAGACUUUUUUCUGAAGGAAAUAUGUAUAAUACAAGACUGAAAUAGAAAUAGGAUAAUGAAGUUAAAGGUACAGAAAAAUGUUUUUAGAGGAUGUGGCAUUUUUAAGCUAGGAGGAAUCAGAGAUUUUGAAGAAAAUAGGAAUUUUAGAUAGACUGAAGCUCAGUGUGUGGAAAGUGUGGAGGAAACUAGGUUGGAGGCAGGAACUGAAAUAGUUUAAACUUUAUUGUGAGGCUGACAUAGGAUCUUAAAGGAUUUCUAAGCAUGGUGGUAAAAUGAAAUUUAAUUUUGUAAGUGUUACUCUGACUAUAGCAUAGCAAAUAAUUUGGAAGAGUGGGGCCAGGGAUAUAAGCCAAGAGGUUGAUUAAUGAACCUGGGCAAGAGAUGGCAAAGAGUGACAUCAGUGGGUGUAGAGAGAAAUUCAGGUACUUUGUUUAGUGACAGAAGUGUGUGAGACCACACAAUAUAAGUCUCUCUUACAAAGUCUCAUCCUAUGUAAAAUUAAAAUUAUCCUUUUAAUUCUAAUUUUCAGGGUUUCUAAAUACUGAUUGCUCCUAUUAUUCAAACAUUAAAUCACUCAACAUCCUCAUCCAGCAAGUAAAAGAAAGCUUCAGAAAAUUUUUUUCUGUGUCUAUCCUUUAAAAAUACUUUAUAAUGGCUAUUUAAGAAGGAAAGAAACCUGAUGCAUAAGAAAUUCUGUAAUGUGGCUACUUCAGAGAAAAAUAUGUAGAAAAACUGUACUUUUUUAUUAGAAAUGAAAUGUGUAAGUUUCUAUUUAUCCAUACUUUUGUGGGGACUAAAAUCUUAUUUAACUAAAUAUUUAGCAAUAGAGAUAUUUUCAAACUACUAGAACACAAUAAAUACAUUUAAUGCCAAAAAUGCUUAGCAUUAUUUACUUUUCUGAAUUGAUGAUCUAAAAUUUAUUGGGACUUAGAAGUCACAGUAAUUACAUAAAUAUUACUUAUAUAAGAUUGUAGACAUAAACAGAAUGAAAAUUAGGAAUGAGAUCUCUAUUAACAUAAUAUACACUUUGUGAGCUCUUAUUUUGGUGAAAUAAUGUGGGCCCAUAUAGUGGUUUGAUUUUGUCAAUUAAUUGACAACAUUUUAAAAUCAAAUUACUUCAUAUACAUUCUUGAAUUUCUAGCUUCUUUUAGAAAAUUUUGAGAUCUGACCUAAGCUUCUUGCAGAAAAACAAUCAGUUGGAGUUCAGCUUCAUUAUAAUAUAGUAUGGUACAGUACAGUACAGCAUAGCAUAGCACAGUGUAAUAUAAAUUUUAGACUUUGUACUAUGCAGUUUGCCAUAAUUCUCACUACUUACUAUUGACUUUCUAUCACUAAAGUCAGUGUCAGUGGCCACUGAUAAUGAAUGCUUGACUUAUAAUUUUGCUUAAGAUAAAAUUUUUUAAAAAAUGUCUAUUAUUUACAUAUUCAUAUUUAUCUAAUCUUAAAACAAUAGGGGUACGCACUGGGAUUGAGCAGUAAUGAAACCAAGUAUUCUCUAUGAGGAUUCAGGAUUGAUCCUGGACGUUGCUCAGUGGGUUAAAGGAUCUGGCAUUGCCAUGAGCUAUGAUGUAGAUCACAGAUAUGGCUCAGAGCUUGCACUGCUGUGGCUGUGGCAUGGGUGAGCAGCUGCAGCUCUGAUUUGACCC
rnacentral:lncRNA from 1 species